rnacentral:rRNA from 1 species
AGAGUUUGAUCCUGGCUCAGGAUGAACGCUAGCGGCAGGCCUAACACAUGCAAGUCGAGGGAGAAGCCCUUUCGGGGGCAGAAACCGGCGCACGGGUGCGUAACGCGUAUGCAACCUACCUUUCACAGGGGGAUAGCCCGAAGAAAUUUGGAUUAAUACCCCAUAAUAUUAUUGAAUGGCAUCAUUUGAUAAUUAAAACUGAGGUGGUGAAAGAUGGGCAUGCGUCCUAUUAGCUAGUUGGAGUGGUAACGGCACCCCAAGGCUACGAUAGGUAGGGGUCCUGAGAGGGAGAUCCCCCACACUGGUACUGAGACAGGGACCAGACUCCUACGGGAGGCAGCAGUGAGGAAUAUUGGUCAAUGGUCGGAAGACUGAACCAGCCAUGCCGCGUGCAGGAAGAAUGCCUUAUGGGUUGUAAACUGCUUUUAUAUGGGAAGAAUAAGGCGUACGUGUACGUUGAUGACGGUACCAUAUGAAUAAGCAUCGGCUAACUCCGUGCCAGCAGCCGCGGUAAUACGGAGGAUGCGAGCGUUAUUCGGAAUCAUUGGGUUUAAAGGGUCUGUAGGCGGGCUAUUAAGUCAGGGGUGAAAGGUUUCAGCUUAACUGAGAAAUUGCCUUUGAUACUGGUAGUCUUGAAUAUCUGUGAAGUUCUUGGAAUGUGUAGUGUAGCGGUGAAAUGCUUAGAUAUUACACAGAACACCGAUUGCGAAGGCAGGGGACUAACAGACAAUUGACGCUGAGAGACGAAAGCGUGGGGAGCGAACAGGAUUAGAUACCCUGGUAGUCCACGCU